rnacentral:sRNA from 1 species
UUAUAUAAUAACAAAAGCUGAAAACAAUCAAGAGAGUCGAAUUUUUUAUGAAUCUUAUAUAAUAAAGUAAGAUUUCCUCAAACUUGUGCUCUAAAAAUUUGACAAGUGGCGCUCUAUUCAUUCGACAUGUGUCAUUCUUCUCAAAUUUAAAUAUAUUAUUUUCCAUAUUCUUUAAGUUUAAAAUUUGGCCUCUCACAUAAUCGAUUAAAUGUUUAUUUGUAUAUCUUGAAACAAAAUAAACAACAUAACUGACCAUAUAACUUAAGUCAUAAAUAUCAUUUACAAUAU